UCGCCUGUUUACCAAAAACAUCACCUCUAGCUAAAUAUACAAAUAUUAGAGGCAAUGCCUGCCCAGUGAAAAUUUUUAACGGCCGCGGUAUUCCGACCGUGCAAAGGUAGCAUAAUCACUUGUCUUUUAAAUCAAGACUAGUAUGAAUGGCAAAACGAAAGCUUAACGUCUCAUUUAUUUAAUCAAUGAAAUUGAACUUCUUGUACAAAAGCAAGAAUACACAAAUAAGACGAGAAGACCCUAUGGAACUUAAACCACACUACCAAUUUAAUUACUUAAACUUCUUAAAUAUCUGGAUUUGUUGGUUUUGGUUGGGGUGACCACGGAGAAAAAUAAUCCUCCGAGAUAAUAUAACUAAGAUAUACAUAACAAAGUGUCAAAAACUUGAAGCAUUGACCCAAUACACUUGAUAAACGAACCAAGCUACCCUAGGGAUAACAGCGCAAUCUUCUUUAAGAGUUCAUAUCACCAAGAAGGUUUACGACCUCGAUGUUGGAUCAGGAUAUCCAAACAGUGCAGCCGCUGUUAAUGGUUUGUUUGUUCAACAAUUAAAAUCCUACGUGAUCUGAGUU
rnacentral:rRNA from 1 species